AGAAACGCCAGGGACCUACAAUGAGAG
rnacentral:piRNA from 1 species